GCAGAAGAAGGACCGGCUAACUCCGUGCCAGCAGCCGCGGUUAUACGGAGGGUGCGAGCGUUAAUCGGAAUUACUGGGCGUAAAGCGUACGCAGGCGGUUUGUUAAGCGAGAUGUGAAAGCCCCGGGCUUAACCUGGGAACUGCAUUUCGAACUGGCAGGCUAGAGUGUGAUAGAGGGUGGUAGAAUUUCAGGUGUAGCGGUGAAAUGCGUAGAGAUCUGAAGGAAUACCGAUGGCGAAGGCAGCCACCUGGGUCAACACUGACGCUCAUGUACGAAAGCGUGGGGAGCAAACAGGAUUAGAUACCCUGGUAGUCCACGCCGUAAACGAAGUCUACUAGGACCUCGGCAUUACGGAGCUCUUUUCCAAAGCAACCGCAUUAAGUAGACCGCCUGGGGAGUACCGCGGCAAGG
rnacentral:rRNA from 1 species